GGAAGGGUGGUCCAAUGGUUAAGGUGCUAGGCUGCUACUCUAGAGAUCCAGGUUCAAUUCUCUGCCUUCCUG
rnacentral:tRNA from 1 species